rnacentral:rRNA from 1 species
GAAAGCUGUCGCUAAAGGAUGGACCCGCGGUGCAUUAGCUAGUUGGUAAGGUAAUGGCUUACCAAGGCGACGAUGCAUAGCCGAGUUGAGAGACUGAUCGGCCACAUUGGGACUGAGACACGGCCCAAACUCCUACGGGAGGCAGCAGUAGGGAAUCUUCCACAAUGGGCGAAAGCCUGAUGGAGCAACGCCGCGUGAGUGAAGAAGGUUUUCGGAUCGUAAAGCUCUGUUGUUGGUGAAGAAGGAUAGAGGUAGUAACUGGCCCCUAUUUGACGGUAAUCAACCAGAAAGUCACGGCUAACUACGUGCCAGCAGCCGCGGUAAUACGUAGGUGGCAAGCGUUGUCCGGAUUUAUUGGGCGUAAAGCGAGCGCAGGCGGAAAGAUAAGUCUGAUGUGAAAGCCCCCGGCUUAACCGAGGAAUUGCAUCGGAAACUGUGUUUCUUGAGUGCAGAAGAGGAGAGUGGAACUCCAUGUGUAGCGGUGGAAUGCGUAGAUAUAUGGAAGAACACCAGUGGCGAAGGCGGCUCUCUGGUCUGUAACUGACGCUGAGGCUCGAAAGCAUGGGUAGCGAACAGGAUUAGAUACCCUGGUAGUCCAUGCCGUAAACGAUGAAUGCUA